rnacentral:rRNA from 1 species
UACGUAGGGGGCAAGCGUUGUCCGGAAUCAUUGGGCGUAAAGAGCGUGUAGGCGGCUUGGUAGGUCUCGCGUCAAAACCUGAGGCUCAACCUCAGUUCGCGUGGGAAACCACCUAGCUAGAGUCCGGAAGAGGAGAACGGAAUUCCCAGUGUAGCGGUGAAAUGCGCAGAUAUUGGGAAGAACACCAGUGGCGAAGGCGGUUCUCUGGGACGGUACUG